rnacentral:rRNA from 1 species
GACGAACGCUGGCGGCGCGCCUAACACAUGCAAGUCGAACGGAGAAAGCGCUUCGGUGUUUUCUUAGUGGCGGACGGGUGAGUAACGCGUGAGGAACCUGCCCUUCAGAGGGGGAUAACGUCUGGAAACGGACGCUAAUACCGCAUGACAUAUUCGGGAGACAUCUUCUGAAUAUCAAAGGAGAAAUCCGCUGAAGGAUGGACUCGCGUCCGAUUAGGUAGUUGGUGAGGUAACGGCCCACCAAGCCCGCGAUCGGUAGCCGGACUGAGAGGUUGGCCGGCCACAUUGGGACUGAGACACGGCCCAGACUCCUACGGGAGGCAGCAGUGGGGGAUAUUGCACAAUGGAGGAAACUCUGAUGCAGCGACGCCGCGUGAGGGAAGAAGGUCUUCGGAUUGUAAACCUCUGUCUUCAGGGACGAAACAAAUGACGGUACCUGAAGAGGAAGCCACGGCUAACUACGUG